GUGUGUCAAUGCACAUAUACUAAAAUUGGAACGAUACAGAGAAGAUUAGCAUGGCCGCUGUGCAAGGAUGAUAUGCAAAUUUGUGAAGCAUUCCAUAUUUUU